rnacentral:misc_RNA from 1 species
GGAGGUAAAAGUCGUAACAAGGUCUCCGUUGGUGAACCAGCGGAGGGAUCAUUACUGGAAUCGCAAGAUCCCACAACCCUGUGAACCUACCGAAACGUUGCCUCGGCGGGUGCCCGGCCUCUGCGCCGGGCGCUGCGCCCGCCGGCGGCCCCCUACUCUGUCUCUGCAGCGUGGCAUCUCAGAGUCCCAGAAAACAAGUCAAAACUUUCAACAACGGAUCUCUUGGCUCUA